rnacentral:rRNA from 1 species
AACGAACGCUGGCGGUGCGUCUUCAGCAUGCAAGUCGAACGGUAACGGGCCUUCGGGUGCCGACGAGUGGCGAACGGGUGAGUAACACGUAGGUGAUCUGUCUUUGGGUUGGGGAUAGCCUUUGGAAACACAGGGUAAUACCGAAUGAUGUCGUAGUACUGUAGUGCAAGGAUUAAAGGGGCUAUGGCCCCGCCUGAAGAUGAGCCUGCGGCGCAGUAGCUAGUUGGUGAGGUAAAGGCUCACCAAGACGACGAUCAGUAACCGGCCUGAGGGGGUGGCCGGUAACACUGGGACUGAGAUACGGCCCAGACUCCUACGGGAGGCAGCAGCUAAGAAUCUUCCGCAAUGGACGAAAGUCUGACGGAGCGACACCGCGUGAGUGAUGAAGGCGUAAACGUUGUAGAUCUCUUUUAUGGAUGAGGAAUAAGCUUGGAAGGGAAUGUCCGAGUGAUGACGGUAGUCCAUGAAUAAGCCCCGGCUAAUUACGUGCCAGCAGCCGCCGUAA